rnacentral:rRNA from 1 species
AACGAACGCUGGCGGCAUGCCUAACACAUGCAAGUCGAACGAGACCUUCGGGUCUAGUGGCGCACGGGUGCGUACCGCGUGGGAACCUGCCCUUAGGUUCGGAAUAACUCCCCGAAAGGGGUGCUAAUACCGGAUAAUGUCUUCGGACCAAAGAUUUAUUGCCUUUGGAUGGGCCCGCGUUGGAUUAGCUAGUUGGUAGGGUAAAAGCCUACCAAGGCGACGAUCCAUAGCUGGUCUGAGAGGAUGAUCAGCCACACUGGGACUGAGACACGGCCCAGACUCCUACGGGAGGCAGCAGUGGGGAAUAUUGGACAAUGGGCGAAAGCCUGAUCCAGCAAUGCCGCGUGAGUGAUGAAGGCCUUAGGGUUGUAAAGCUCUUUUACCCGGGAUGAUAAUGACAGUACCGGGAGAAUAAGCUCCGGCUAACUCCGUG